rnacentral:rRNA from 1 species
AUUGAACGCUGGCGGCAGGCCUAACACAUGCAAGUCGAGCGGAUGAAGGUAGCUUGCUCCUGGAUUCAGCGGCGGACGGGUGAGUAAUGCCUAGGAAUCUGCCUGGUAGUGGGGGAUAACGUCCGGAAACGGGCGCUAAUACCGCAUACGUCCUGAGGGAGAAAGUGGGGGAUCUUCGGACCUCACGCUAUCAGAUGAGCCCAGGUCGGAUUAGCUAGUUGGUGGGGUAAAGGCCUACCAAGGCGACGAUCCGUAACUGGUCUGAGAGGAUGAUCAGUCACACUGGAACUGAGACACGGUCCAGACUCCUACGGGAGGCAGCAGUGGGGAAUAUUGGACAAUGGGCGAAAGCCUGAUCCAGCCAUGCCGCGUGUGUGAAGAAGGUCUUCGGAUUGUAAAGCACUUUAAGUUGGGAGGAAGGGCAGUAAGUUAAUACCUUGCUGUUUUGACGUUACCAACAGAAUAAGCACCGGCUAACUUCGUG